AUAUGAUGAGACACACGCUGGCACCAGUCUGAGAAGACUUGUACUCUUUGCAUGCGGAUCAGCUGCUAGACUUUUAAGUCACCUCUGAA
rfam:Pyrenochaeta sp. DS3sAY3a unplaced genomic scaffold IQ07scaffold_4, whole genome shotgun sequence.